AUUGAACGCUGGCGGCAGGCCUAACACAUGCAAGUCGAACGAGUGGCGGACGGGUGAGUAAUGUAUGGGAAACUGCCCGAUGGAGGGGGAUAACUACUGGAAACGGUAGCUAAUACCGCAUACCAUCGGAACGGCCCAGAUGGGAUUAGCUAGUGGGUGGGGUAACGGCUCACCAAGGCGACGAUCCCUAGCUGGUCUGAGAGGAUGACCAGCCACACUGGAACUGAGACACGGCCCAGACUCCUACGGGAGGCAGCAGUGGGGAAUUUUGCACAAUGGGCGAAAGCCUGAUCCAGCCAUCCCGCGUGUAUGAUGAAGGCCUUCGGGUUGUAAAGUACUUUCAGCGGGGAGGCGUUACCCGCAGAAGAAGCACCGGCUAACUCCGUGCCAGCAGCCGCGGUAAUAC
rnacentral:rRNA from 1 species